rnacentral:rRNA from 1 species
GACGAACGCUGGCGGCGUGCCUAAUACAUGCAAGUUGAGCGCUGAAGGUUGGUACUUGUACCAACUGGAUGAGCAGCGAACGGGUGAGUAACGCGUGGGGAAUCUGCCUUUGAGCGGGGGACAACAUUUGGAAACGAAUGCUAAUACCGCAUAAAAACUUUAAACACAAGUUUUAAGUUUGAAAGAUGCAAUUGCAUCACUCAAAGAUGAUCCCGCGUUGUAUUAGCUAGUUGGUGAGGUAAAGGCUCACCAAGGCGAUGAUACAUAGCCGACCUGAGAGGGUGAUCGGCCACAUUGGGACUGAGACACGGCCCAAACUCCUACGGGAGGCAGCAGUAGGGAAUCUUCGGCAAUGGGCGAAAGUCUGACCGAGCAACGCCGCGUGAGUGAAGAAGGUUUUCGGAUCGUAAAACUCUGUUGGUAGAGAAGAACGUUGGUGAGAGUGGAAAGCUCAUCAAGUGACGGUAACUACCCAGAAAGGGACGGCUAACUACGU